GACGUAGGGCGCGAGCGUUGUCCGGAUUUAUUGGGCGUAAAGAGCUCGUAGGCGGCUUGUCGCGUCGAAUGUGAAAACUCGGGGCUCAACUCCGAGCUUGCAUUCGAUACGGGCAGGCUAGAGUUCGGUAGGGGAGACUGGAAUUCCUGGUGUAGCGGUGAAAUGCGCAGAUAUCAGGAGGAACACCGGUGGCGAAGGCGGGUCUCUGGGCCGAUACUGACGUGAGGAGCGAAAGCGUGGGGAGCGAACAGG
rnacentral:rRNA from 1 species